CAUAGAUGAAGGUGAAGAGGAUGAAGCGGACACACGGUGGAAUCACUCACUAAUUGCUUUAUCUAAUGUUGGAAACUAGUUUUGGGUCAUGGUAACAUUUGAUCCACCUUCCUAUCGUGAAGGAGAACUCCACAUUCUUCUUCUGUAUCAUAGUUUGCAUGCUGUUUUACACGUGGACAAGUUAGCAAGGCGUUACUUCAGUAUGGGAGGUACUGAGCAGUUAGGACAGUGUGAGACAGACAAGGAGUGAAGGUGUGUAAUGCCGGGAUCAGACUACAGGAUAUCUUUGUCUUUGACGAUGGUCACCAUGUCAGAUCUAACCAUCACAGCGCCAUAAACUCUUGCAGUGUCUCGGUCGGGUGACUGGCAAGACUACACGUAUGACCACGACCAAUCACGUCACGUCGUAUUCCACCAUCAUACGCGAGUUCAGACGAGCGUCGUGUAGAGAAAGAGUGU